GACGAACGCUGGCGGCGUGCUUAACACAUGCAAGUCGAACGAAGUGGCGAACGGGUGAGUAAUACGUGGGUAACCUUCCCUCCUUUUUGGGAUAAGCCUUGGAAACGGGGUCUAAUACCGAAUAAAGGGGGAUGGGCUCGCGGCCUAUUGGCUUGUUGGUUGGGUGAUGGCCUACCAAGGCGGUGACGGGUAGUCGGGCUGAGAGGGUGACCGGCCACAUUGAGAUUGGGAUACGGCCCAGACACCAACGGGCGGCGGAUGUGGGGUAUGGUGCACAAUGGGCGAAAACCUGUUGCCGGGAUGCCGCGUGGGGGAUGAAGGCUUUCAGGAUGGAAAUCUCGUACGCUAUCGAUCGGGUAGGCGAGGAAGAAGCGCCGGCUAACUACGUGCCAGCAGCCGCGGUAAUG
rnacentral:rRNA from 1 species